rnacentral:rRNA from 1 species
UACGUAGGGUGCAAGCGUUGUCCGGAAUUAUUGGGCGUAAAGAGCUCGUAGGCGGUUUGUUGCGUCGGCUGUGAAAUCCCGAGGCUCAACCUCGGGUCUGCAGUCGAUACGAGCAAACUAGAGUGUUGCAGGGGAGACUGGAAUUCCUGGUGUAGCGGUGGAAUGCGCAGAUAUCAGGAAGAACACCGGUGGCGAAGGCGGCUCUCUGGGCCUUACCUGACGCUGAGGAGCGAAAGCGUGGGUAGCGAACAGG